rnacentral:tRNA from 1 species
CCUCACAAAGCUUAGUGUUAGAGCAAUGGCGUGUGAAGCCAGGGACCCGGGUUCGAUUCCCGGCGAGGGCU